CUGUGGAGCGUGUUCAACAAGUUUAUUUUAUUUGAUCAUCACAUAAUGUUGUCAUCUACCUCGCGCAGUUUGGAAUUACUUAGAUGAAAAUGAUCUUACAAAAUGGAAUUACUUUUGAUCAAAUUAAUUAAUGAAACUGAGUUAUCAUAAUAUCAACACCAUUAUGAGAAAGCACAUGAAAUCUAAAUACCCGUCGAGUGAGGAAAGACAGCUGUCCAUCACUGCAUUCACGACGUCAGCACACCACCGCUGUUUCCCACUGUCAUGGCUCUAACAGCAUCGGCUCUGGCUUCUCUUUCUGCACAGCUGUCACUCAGAGAUUGAAGGAUACCAGCCACACACACCCACAGUGUAGUGCAGAGCUGUACAUCACCAGCUCCUGAAACCAUGUUUCUGCUCCAGAACCAAACCAGCAGUGACUGCAGGCAGCAGAGCGACCGCUAUAUAUCCUGGAAGACACUGAUAUGUGGAGAUACAGCAGGUUGAUUUUAUUGUGACCUUUACCUGAAAUUGCCAUCCGUUAUAUUUCUGAGGUUUGAAAAUGCAACUGUUUCAGUGAUGAGAGAAUGCAGGCGCAAUGCAUUCGUUACAGAAAAAGGAAGAGGAAGCGAGAUGGCCAAAACAGGAAUAGGACAGACAGCAGACUCUUUCAUUCUUGUCUGUCUGUCAAUCACACAUGUUCUUUGCUGUCUCUGUGAUCUGUUAUGGGACAAAACUCCUGCACAGCUAAUUUCCUGUGAUACACCAAACACCAAUGGAUGUGUCUCAGACGGCUUCAUGGUCUCAUCUGGCCUUCAAUAUCAGUGAUAUCGCAGCACACACAUAAAGAGAGAGAGAGAGACGGGGGAGGGUAAGACAAGGAUCUGUAGAACAGAUGGUGCCAAAUAAAAACUUACGCUUUUAUUUUGAUUUUCACUUUGAAUAAAAGAAAUAGGAAAUGUUGUGGUCUCGAUGCAACACAUAUUUCUUUCUCUCUCUCUCUCUCUUUUUUUUUCCCUGCCUAUUUGUCAUUUUAUCUACAAAGCUUUAUUUGCAUGACAUUUACAAUACUGUCAAAGCAUAUCAAGUAGGCUACUUGAAGUACAGAAAUACACUGUGUAGAAAAAUUAGAAAA